UACGUAGGGUGCGAGCGUUGCCCGGAUUUACUGGGCGUAAAGAGCGCGCAGGCGGUCGUUCAAGUCGCGUGUGAAAGCCCCCGGCUCAACUGGGGAGGGUCACGCGAUACUGAUCGACUGGAAGGCAGGAGAGGGUAGUGGAAUUCCCGGUGUAGUGGUGAAAUGCGUAGAUAUCGGGAGGAACACCAGUGGCGAAGGCGACUACCUGGCCUGUUCUUGACGCUGAGGCGCGAAAGCUAGGGGAGCAAACGGG
rnacentral:rRNA from 1 species